rnacentral:rRNA from 1 species
UACGUAGGGUCCGAGCGUUGUCCGGAAUUACUGGGCGUAAAGAGCUCGUAGGUGGUUUGUCGCGUUGUUCGUGAAAACUCACAACUCAAUUGUGGGCGUGCGGGCGAUACGGGCAGACUGGAGUACUGCAGGGGAGACUGGAAUUCCUGGUGUAGCGGUGGAAUGCGCAGAUAUCAGGAGGAACACCGGUGGCGAAGGCGGGUCUCUGGGACGGUACUGACGCUGAGACGCGAAAGCGUGGGGAGCAAACAGG